UAACGUGUGGGCAACCUGCCCUGUACUGGGGAAUAAUCAUUGGAAACGAUGACUAAUACCGCAUGUGGUCCUCGGAAGGCAUCUUCUGAGGAAGAAAGGAUUUAUUCGGUACAGGAUGGGCCCGCAUCUGAUUAGCUAGUUGGUGAGAUAACAGCCCACCAAGGCGACGAUCAGUAGCCGACCUGAGAGGGUGAUCGGCCACAUUGGGACUGGGACACGGCCCAA
rnacentral:rRNA from 1 species